rnacentral:rRNA from 1 species
UCCCUAGUAACGGCGAGUGAAGCGGGAAGAGCCCAGCGUCGAACCGCUGUGCCCUAACGAGUACAGCGGAAUGUGACGUGCGGGAGUGCCAUAUUCCCGAGCGUUUGGGGAGACCCAAAGUCCUUCUGAUUCAGGCCUUUGCCCAUCGAGGGUGUCAGGCCCGUAUCGGGUCCCCCGAGCGCGCGGACAUGGUGCUCUUUAGAGUCGGGUUGUUUGGGAAUGCAGCCCUAAGAGGGUGGUAAACUCCAUCUAAGGCUAAAUAUUCGGACGAGACCGAUAGCGAACAAGUACCGUGAGGGAAAGUUGAAAAGCACUUUGAAGAGAGAGUUCAAUAGUACGUGAAACCGUCGAGAGGUAAACGGUGAAGGCGUCAGAGGUGCCCGUUGUGAUUCAGUUGUGCCCGCUGUUCGGGCCUGGUUUGGUGGGACUCUCAUGGGCCCCCGGCUAGGUCACGAGCGGUGUGGAGCAGCGCACUUCGCGCGGGUGCAGUCACGACCGAUUGCCCGGGGGUGUUGGAUCCGGUACCGGUGGGAGGCUUAUGCUUUUUUCAGGUUUGCCGGUCGGCGGCCUUCUGGGCGAUUGUAGUAGCGAGGAAUGCCGGCCCAUUAGGGCGGCCGGGCUUUGGUCAACGUGCGCUUUCUUGGUGCGGGACUGCUUGCAGUGCCGUGUCGGAGGUGUCGGGGGCUGAGGUCUUGGUCUUGGUGUUCCCCGUCCGUGGCGGUACGGAUGCCCUUUACCGACCCGUCUUGAAACACGGACCAAGGAGUCUAACAUGUGUGCGAGUCUCGAGGGAGUAGAAACCCGCAGGCGUAAUGAAAGUGAUUAGGUGGGAAGCCGUCUUCGGAUGGCCGCACCGCCGUCCCGUCCGUGUGGCUUGUCUACAGGGCGGAGAAGGAGCAUACACGUUGGGACCCGAAAGAUGGUGAACUAUGCCUGAACAGGAUGAAGCCAGGGGAAACCCUGGUGGAGGUCCGUAGCGAUUCUGACGUGCAAAUCGAUCGUCUGAUUUGGGUAUAGGGGCGA